ACAAAAAACGACCGAAAACCUCAUUGUCGUUUCCGGUGAGGAGUAGAUCACCACACCACACAAGUUCGUGGUGGAAAAAAUAAGUUGUGUCGCCCGGGAGAAAAACCGCGUGGGAAGUGUGCCUCGGAGAUCCGAACCAGAGCCACUACACGGCGAAAAGCCAGACCAGGCCGCGUGCAGCCACUGCAUCGGUCCAUUCGAGGACGGAAAAGGCAUCAAGCCUAAAAAGGAUAGCCCCAGCCGGGAAUCCCGGUCCGGGAGAAGCCAAGAAGGAACGGCAAAAAGAACGGCGAAAUUAAUUUCGGCUAUUCGCAGGCGGCCCUUUCUUUUUUACCCCAUCUACUUUUCCCUAUUUACCAUCACUAUCGUGACCUCGGUGGCAAACUCCCAGGGUUGACCAGCGACAUCGGUGCUUCAGGAGAAGAGCAACCGAGAAGGAGAAUUUGCAUCAGCAGUGUUGUUCCUCUUCGGUGCUCCGGGGCGGUCGAAUUUUGAAGAAGAGCACCACCAGUGGUUCCCAAUCGGUUCUCCCGGUGUCAUGCAAACAGAAGACAAGAGGAAGACGCCUCAGGAGGUGAUCCAAGUAAGUGAGCAGGAGAAGCUCAACCCGCGUUAGCAGAUUUUCGCUCCGUGCGAAGAGCGGCAGGAAAAGGGUGAAGAAGCAGCUCCCUACUGGACACUAGGCGGCGCUACAUGCAAGAAGGUAACCUAAAACGGA